AAUCAACGCUGGCGGCGUGCCUCAGACAUGCAAGUCGAACGAUUAAAGCUCUCUUCGGAGAGUGCAUAGAGUGGCGCACGGGUGAGUAACACGUAAGUAAUCUACCUUUGAGUGGGGAAUAACGUCCGGAAACGGACGCUAAUACCGCAUAAUGCAGCGGCAUCGCAAGAUGACAGUUGUUAAAGAUUUAUCGCUUGAAGAGGAGCUUGCGGCAGAUUAGCUAGUUGGUAAGGUAAUGGCUUACCAAGGCUACGAUCUGUAACCGGUCUAAGAGGACGGUCGGUCACACUGACACUGAAUAACGGGUCAGACUCCUACGGGAGGCAGCAGUCGGGAAUUUUGGGCAAUGGGCGAAAGCCUGACCCAGCAACGCCGCGUGAAGGAUGAAGUAUUUCGGUAUGUAAACUU
rnacentral:rRNA from 1 species